AGAGUUUGAUCCUGGCUCAGAUUGAACGCUGGCGGCAGGCCUAACACAUGCAAGUCGAGCGGUAACAGGAAGUAGCUUGCUAUUUCGCUGACGAGCGGCGGACGGGUGAGUAAUGCCUGGGAAUAUGCCUUGAUGUGGGGGAUAACUAUUGGAAACGAUAGCUAAUACCGCAUAAUGCCUACGGGCCAAAGAGGGGGAUCUUCGGACCUCUCGCGUCAAGAUUAGCCCAGGUGGGAUUAGCUAGUUGGUGGGGUAAAGGCUCACCAAGGCGACGAUCCCUAGCUGGUCUGAGAGGAUGAUCAGCCACACUGGAACUGAGACACGGUCCAGACUCCUACGGGAGGCAGCAGUGGGGAAUAUUGCACAAUGGGGGAAACCCUGAUGCAGCCAUGCCGCGUGUAUGAAGAAGGCCUUCGGGUUGUAAAGUACUUUCAGCAGUGAGGAAGGUGGUAGUGUUAAUAGCACUAUCAUUUGACGUUAGCUGCAGAAGAAGCACCGGCUAACUCCGUGCCAGCAGCCGCGGUAAU
rnacentral:rRNA from 1 species